rnacentral:rRNA from 1 species
UACGGAGGGUGCAAGCGUUGCUCGGAAUUAUUGGGCGUAAAGCGCGUGUAGGCGGCCCAGUAAGUCGACUGUGAAAGCCCUUGGCUCAACCAAGGAAGUGCAGUCGAAACUGCUGGGCUUGAGCCCCGAAGAGGAUGGCGGAAUGCCCAGUGUAGAGGUGAAAUUCGUAGAUAUUGGGUAGAACACCAGUGGCGAAGGCGGCCAUCUGGAGGCGACUGACGCUGAGACGCGAAAGCGUGGGGAGCAAACAGG